AAAGAUUUAGUUAAAACAUAAUAUAAAUUUGUCAAAUUUAAGUAAUUUAUUCUCUAAUUAAAUAAUCUUUU
rnacentral:tRNA from 1 species